UUGGAGGGCAAGUCUGGUGCCAGCAGCCGCGGUAAUUCCAGCUCCAAUAGCGUAUAUUAAAGUUGUUGCAGUUAAAAAGCUCGUAGUUGAAUUUCGGGAUCAAUACGUCGGUCGUGCUUUUUUGGUACGCACUGGCGUCAUUGGUUUCUCCUUUCUGACGAACCAUGAUGUCAUUAAUUUGGUGUUAUGGGGAGUUAGGACUGUUACUUUGAAAAAAUUAGAGUGUUUAAAGCAGGCAUUAGCUUGAAUACAUUAGCAUGGAAUAAUGAAAUAGGACGUUCGAUCCUAUUUUGUUGGUUUCUAGGAUCAACGUAAUGAUUAAUAGGGAUAGUUGGGGGCAUUAGUAUUCAAUUGUCAGAGGUGAAAUUCUUGGAUUUAUUGAAGACUAACUACUGCGAAAGCAUUUGCCAAGGAUGUUUUCAUUAAUCAAGAACGAAAGUUAGGGGAUCGAAGACGAUCAGAUACCGUCGUAGUCUUAACCAUAGACUAUGCCGACUAGGGAUCGGAUGAUGUUAAUUUUAUAAUGACUCAUUCGGCGCCUUACGGGAAAC
rnacentral:rRNA from 1 species